rnacentral:rRNA from 1 species
AGUAGCGGCGAGCGAAAUCGGAACAGCCUAAACCGACGUACGUGUCAACCGAGAUGGGGUUUGCGUACGCGGUGUCGCGGGAUACCCUGUCCCUACCACUCUGCGGGGAAGGGUUUGAUAAACUGGAAGUCUAGUAAAACGGUCUUGAAAGGCCGGCCAUAGAGGGUGAUAGCCCCGUAUGCGAAAGGUUUCCAGUUCCCUUUAGGAAUGUCCCAAGUACCGCCUGCCACGGGAAAACAGGCGCGAAUCUGGCGCGACCAUGCGCUAAGGCUAAAUACUCCUCGGAGACCGAUAGUGAACUAAGUAGCGCGAGCGAAAGGUGAAAAGCACCCCGAGAGGGGAGUGAAAAGAUCUGAAACCAUUUACCUACAAACAGUGGGAGCUUCGCAGGUUCGCCUGCGGGGUGACCUCGUGCCUUUUGCAUAAUGAGUCCGGGAGUUAAUGGUUGGCGCUUGCCUAAGGUGUUCUGCACCGGAGGCGGAGCGAAAGCGAGUCUUAAUAGGGCGACUAUGUGCUAAUCAGUAGACCCGAAUGCCGGUGAUCUACGCAUGUGCAGACUGAACCCUGAGUAACAUCAGGGGAAGGGUCGAACCAGUACUGGAUGAAAACAGUUUGGAUGACGUGUGUGUAGGAGCAAAAGACUAGUCAAACUGGCCGAUAGCUGGUUCUCCCCGAAAUAGCUUUAGGGCUAGCCUCGGGUAACUACGUUGCGGGGGUAGAGAGACUGAAUCGGUCUUGGGGGGCUACCCGCCUACCCUGCCGAACCAAACUCCGAAUACCGUAACGACUAUCCCGGGAGUCAGACUGUGGGGGAUAAGCUUCGCAGUCGAAAGGGAAACAGCCCAGACCGCCGGCUAAGGUCCCAAAAUCAGUGCUAAGUGUAUAAGGAAGUUGGAGGGCUAUGACAGCCAGGAUGUUGGCUUAGAAGCAGCCAUCAUUUAAAAAGUGCGUAACAGCUUACUGGUCGAGCCUUUCUGCGCCGAAAAUGAUCGGGCCUCAAGCACAGUGCCGAAGCCGCGGAUUUAUCUGUUUCGUUGAAGCAAAUAAGUGGUAGGGGAGCGUACCAAACAGCGCCGAAGUCAAUCUGAAAAGAUUGGUGGAGCGUUUGGCAGUGAUUAUCCGGACUUGAGUAGCGAUAAAACGGGUGAGAAGCCCGUUCGCCGUAAGCCUAAGGAUUCCUGGGCAACGUAAAUCGGCCCAGGGUUAGCCGGUCCCUAAGACGAGGCCAAAAGGCGUAGUCGAUGGGAAUGACGUUAAUAUUCGUCAGCCACCUAUGGAAGGUUUGUACUGCAUGGGGGGGUGCGGAAGGCUAGAGGAACCGUGCGGUUAGAAAUGCACGGCCUGGUUGUAGGUGGGUUUCCUAGGAAAAUCCGGGAGACCAUUCAACACUGAGGUACCAGGCGAUCCGGGUGUAUGCUCGGAGUAGUCCUUGACGCCAAACCGACAAGAAAAGCCUCGGCAGGACGACCAUGGGUGACCGUACUAAAACAGACACAUGUAGGCGAGGAGAGUAUCCUAAGGCGCUCCAGAGAAACCAGCUGAAGGAACUAAACAAACUAGCCCCGUAACCUAGGGAUAAGGGGUGCUUCUCUCUGUGUAAGGACUUGCUCCUGAAGCAGAAUGGGAAGUCACAGCAAAGCGGGCUGGGGAACUGUUUAUCAAAAACACAAGUCUGCGCAAACUCAAGUAAGAGGACGUAUGCAGACUGACGCUUGCCCAGUGCUGGAAGGUUAAGGGGUGGGGUUAGCCGUAAGGCGAAGCUCCUAACCGAAGCCCCAGUGAAAGGCGGCCCUAACUAUGAGGGUCAACCAAGAAGCUACCGCCCUUCCCCGUCGUAUGGGAAGCGGUGAGGGCCCUCGAUAAACCUGGCUGUAUGCUGGAAAACCCGUGUAUCCUCCACUACUUGCCGCAAGGUGAGUGACAAUGUGCGAGGUGCGGACAAUCAGCAGGAAACCUGAAAGGGGAUCCUCAGAGACUGUACGCCGGGAAUCAGUGCAACAAACAGUUCACACCCAGGGUUAGAAGUUUAGUUUUUAAGUAAUCCAAGUAAGUUAUUCGACCGUCUCUAUCCGACCUAAGCACAUGAUUAAGAGCCAGUCCGAUCCCCACGGCGACGUGGGUCCGAAGUACGUGCCUAAGGUAGCGAAGUUCCUUGUCGGGUAAGUUCCGACGCGCAUGAAUAGCGUAAUCACUUGGCCAUUGUCUCCAGCUGGUCCUGGGCGAAAUAGCAACAGCGGUGAAGAUACCGCUUACCCGCCAUAAGACGGAAAGACCCCGUGAACCUUUACUGCAGCCCUAGUAUUGAAUUUUGGUUAAACAUGCGUAGGCUAGGUGGGAGACUUUGAAGCUUCUCCUCCGGGAGGAGUGGAGUCACAAGGUGAAAUACCACUCUUGUUUAAUUAGGAUCCUAACCCCGUACCGUGAACCCGGGCGGGGGACCGUGCUAGGCGGGCAGUUUAUCUGGGGCGGAUUCCUCCUAAAGAGUAGCGGAGGAGUUCCAAGGCACCCUCAACACGGUUGGCAAUCGUGUGACGAGCGCAAGGGUAUAUGGGUGCUUAACUGCGAGACCGAUCAAGUCAAGCAGAUGUGAAAGCAGGACCUAGUGAUCCGGUGGUCCCGAAUGGAAGGGCCAUCGCUCAUCGGACAAAAGGUACUCCGGGGAUAACAGGCUUAUCGCCUCCAAGAGUCCAUAUCGACGAGGCGGUUUGGCACCUCGAUGUCGGCUCAUCGCAUCCUGGGGCUGUAGAAGGUCCCAAGGGUUCGGCUGUUCGCCGAUCAAUAGCGGUACGUGAGCUGGGUUCAGACCGGCGUGAGCCAGGUCGGUCCCUAUCUAUGGUGGGCGCAGGAGAUUUGAGAGGACCUGCUCUUAGUACGAGAGGAUCAGAGUGGACGUCCCUCUGGUGCGGCUGUUAUCCCGCUAGGGGUACACGCAGCGUAGCUAUGGACGGACGAGAUAACCGCUGAAGGCAUCUAAGCGGGAAGCUCACCUCAAGAUGAGAUCUCCCUGAAGGCCACUCGAAGACCACGAGUUCGAUAGGCCGGGUGUGUAAGGGUUGUGAGGCCCUCAGCUAACCGGUACUAAUCGGCCGUUCGGCUUAUCC